rnacentral:tRNA from 1 species
UCCAGGGUAGCCUAGUGGACAUGGCAUCUGCCCGGUAAGCGGAACAUUGUGGGUUCGUUUCCCAUCCCUGGAA